rnacentral:rRNA from 1 species
GUACUUUCAGUGCCCGAGUUGUAAUUUGUAGAAUUUGUCUUUGAUUAGGUCCUUGUCUAUGUUCCUUGGAACAGGACGUCAUAGAGGGUGAGAAUCCCGUUUGGCGAGGAUACCUUUUCUCUGUAAGACUUUUUCGAAGAGUCGAGUUGUUUGGGAAUGCAGCUCAAAGUGGGUGGUAAAUUCCAUCUAAAGCUAAAUAUUGGCGAGAGACCGAUAGCGAACAAGUACAGUGAUGGAAAGAUGAAAAGAACUUUGAAAAGAGAGUGAAAAAGUACGUGAAAUUGUUGAAAGGGAAGGGCAUUUGAUCAGACAUGGUGUUUUUUGCAUGCACUCGCCUCUCGUGGGCUUGGGCCUCUCAAAAAUUUCACUGGGCCAACAUCAAUUCUGGCAGCAGGAUAAAUCAUUAAGAAUGUAGCUACUUCGGUAGUGUUAUAGCUUUUUGGAAUACUGUUAGCCGGGAUUGAGGACUGCGCUUCGGCAAGGAUGUUGGCAUA